rnacentral:rRNA from 1 species
UACGUAGGGGGCAAGCGUUGUCCGGAUUUAUUGGGCGUAAAGAGCGUGUAGGCGGCUAGGUAGGUCCGUUGUGAAAACUCGAGGCUCAACCUCGAGCUGUCGAUGGAAACCAUCUGGCUAGAGUCCGGAAGAGGAGAGUGGAAUUCCUGGUGUAACGGUGAAAUGCGCAGAUAUCAGGAAGAACACCCGUGGCGAAGGCGGCUCUCUGGUACGUGACUGACGCUGAGACGCGAAAAGCGUGGGGAGCGAACAGG